rnacentral:rRNA from 1 species
UUAGAAAGCUCGUAGUUGGAUUUCGGUUAAGAGCGACCGGUCCGCCGUUUGGUGUGCACUGGUUGGUUUUAACUUCCUGUAGAGGACGUGCUCUGGGCUUAACGGUCUGGACUCGGAGUCUACGUGGUUACUUUGAAAAAAUUAGAGUGUUCAAAGCGGGCUUACGCUUGAAUAUUUCAGCAUGGAAUAACACUAUAGGACUCCUGUCCUAUUUCGUUGGUCUCGGGACGGGAGUAAUGAUUAAGAGGAACAGUUGGGGCAUUCGUAUUUCAUUGUCAGAGGUGAAAUUCUUGGAUUUAUGAAAGACGAACUUCUGCGAAAGCAUUUGCCAAGGAUGUUUUCAUUAAUCAAGAACGAAAGUUGGGGGCUCGAAGAUGAUUAGAUACCAUCCUAGUCUCAACCAUAAACGAUGCCGACUAGGGAUUGGCGGAUGUUAAUUGAUGACUCCGCCAGCACCUUAUGAGAAAUCAAAGUUUUUGGGUCCCGGGGGG